rnacentral:rRNA from 1 species
GAUCAAGUAAGCAAGGGCAUCUGGUGGAUGCCUUGGCAUCGAGAGGCGAUGAAGGACGUAGCACGCUGCGAUAAGCCUCGGGGAGCUGCGAGCAAGCGUUGAUCCGGGGAUUUCCGAAUGGGGCAACCCGCCGCUUCGGCGGCACCGUGCGGUGAAUCCAUAGCCGUACGGGGCAAACCCGGCGAACUGAAACAUCUCAGUAGCCGGAGGAAAGGACAUCAACAGAGACUCCGCUAGUAGUGGCGAGCGAACGCGGACCAGGCCAGUGGCGCGGAUUGUGCGAACCGGAAGCGUCUGGAAAGGCGCGCCGUAGACGGUGAUAGCCCGGUACGGGUAAGCACACCUGCGUCCUCGAGUAGGGCGGGGCACGGGAAACCCUGUCUGAACAUGGGGGGACCACCCUCCAAGCCUAAGUACUCCUCGAUGACCGAUAGUGAACGAGUACCGUGAGGGAAAGGUGAAAAGUACCCCGACGAGGGGAGUGAAAGAGACCUGAAACCGGAUGCCUACAAGCAGUGGGAGCGGGUUCGCCCGUGACCGCGUACCUUUUGCAUAAUGGGUCAGCGAGUUCGUCUCCGUAGCAAGCUUAAGCCGAGAGGCGUAGGCGCAGCGAAAGCGAGUCUGAAUAGGGCGAUUGAGUUACGGGGAUGAGACCCGAAACCGGGUGAGCUAGCCAUGGGCAGGUUGAAGGCGCGGUAACACGCGCUGGAGGACCGAACCCACCUAUGUUGAAAAAUGGGGGGAUGACCUGUGGCUAGGGGUGAAAGGCCAAGCAAACCCGGAUAUAGCUGGUUCUCCGCGAAAACUAUUUCGGUAGUGCGUCGCGUAUAUCCGCCGGGGGUAGAGCACUGGAUGGGCUAGGGGGGUUCACAGCCCUACCAAACCUAACCAAACUCCGAAUACCGGUGAGAUCAAUCGCGGCAGACAGACCAUGGGUGCUAAGGUCCAUGGUCGAAAGGGAAACAGCCCAGACCGCCAGCUAAGGUCCCUAAGUCAUGGCUAAGUGGGAAAGGAUGUGGGACGGCCAAGACAACCAGGAGGUUGGCUUAGAAGCAGCCAUCCUUUAAAGAAAGCGUAACAGCUCACUGGUCUAUUAGCUAUCCUGCGCCGAAAAUGUAACGGGGCUCAAGCCAUGCACCGAAGCUGCGGGCGCGUGCUUGCGCGCGCGGUAGCGGAGCGUUCCGUAGGCCUGCGAAGGGGUGCCGUGAGGUGCUCUGGAGGUAUCGGAAGUGCGAAUGCUGACAUGAGUAGCGACAAAGAGUGUGAGAAACACUCUCGCCGAAAGUCCAAGGGUUCCUGCGUAAAGCUAAUCUGCGCAGGGUGAGCCGGCCCCUAAGGUGAGGGCGAAAGCCGUAGCCGAUGGGAAGAAGGUUAAUAUUCCUUCGCCUGCUGGAUUGUGACGGAGGCCGACCGUUGUCACGGCUUAUCGGAUUGCCGUGGCAGCCUGGGUCUUCCAGGAAACAGCACCAGCGUAUAGACCGUACCCUAAACCGACACAGGUGGACUGGUAGAGCAUACCUAGGCGCUUGAGAGAACGGUGUUGAAGGAACUCGGCAAAAUGCCUCCGUAACUUCGGGAGAAGGGGGCCCUGCGCUUGGGCAACCAGGCGUGGGGGGCACAGAGCAGGGGGUGGCGACUGUUUACUAAAAACACAGGACUCUGCGAAGCGGCAACGCGACGUAUAGGGUCUGACGCCUGCCCGGUGCCGGAAGGUUAAGGAGCGAGGUGAGAGCCUCAAACCGAAGCCCCGGUAAACGGCGGCCGUAACUAUAACGGUCCUAAGGUAGCGAAAUUCCUUGUCGGGUAAGUUCCGACCUGCACGAAUGGCGCAACGACUUCCCCGCUGUCUCCAACACCGACUCAGCGAAAUUGAACUCUCCGUGAAGAUGCGGAGUACCUGCGGUCAGACGGAAAGACCCCGUGCACCUUUACUACAGCUUUGCAGUGGUAUUAGGGGUUCGAUGUGUAGGAUAGGUGGGAGGCUUUGAAGCAUGGGCGCAAGCCCGUGUGGAGCCAACCUUGAAAUACCACCCUUCGGAUUUUUGAUAUCUAACCGAGGCCCUUCAAUCAGGGUCCGGGACCCUGCAUGGCGGGUAGUUUGGCUGGGGCGGUCGCCUCCCAAAGAGUAACGGAGGCGCGCGAUGGUGGGCUCAAGCUGGUCGGAAAUCAGCUGUGGAGUGCAAUGGCAUAAGCCCGCCUGACUGCGAGGCCGACGGGCCGAGCAGAGACGAAAGUCGGCCAUAGUGAUCCGGUGGUUCCGUGUGGAAGGGCCAUCGCUCAACGGAUAAAAGGUACGCCGGGGAUAACAGGCUGAUCUCCCCCAAGAGUCCCUAUCGACGGGGAGGUUUGGCACCUCGAUGUCGGCUCAUCACAUCCUGGGGCUGGAGCAGGUCCCAAGGGUUCGGCUGUUCGCCGAUUAAAGUGGUACGUGAGCUGGGUUUAGAACGUCGUGAGACAGUUCGGUCCCUAUCUGCCGUAGGCGUUGGAGAAUUGAGAGGAUCUGCCCCUAGUACGAGAGGACCGGGGUGGACGGACCUCUGGUGGACCGGUUGUGGCGCCAGCCGCACCGCCGGGUAGCUAAGUCCGGACGGGAUAACCGCUGAAAGCAUCUAAGCGGGAAGCCUCCCUCGAGACGGGUUCUCCCUGAAGAGCCGUGGAAGACCACCACGUUGAUAGGCCGGGUGUGGAAGCGUGGCAACACGUGAAGCUAACCGGUCCUAAUCGCUCGAUCGGCUUGAUUCU